rnacentral:lncRNA from 1 species
ACAUUUGCUAAACGAUUCCUUUCAUUCAAAGGCACACCCAAUCUAUCAAAAUACCUAACAAGCUCAGGGUCAGCCUCAUCAAGACUAUUCAAAGUUGGCUUCUUUUUAGGUUCUGAAUUCUCAAAGUACCUAACAAGCUCAGGGUCAGCCUCAUCAAGACUAUUCAAAGUUGGUUUCUUUUUAGGUUCUGAAUAGUAAACAAUAUCUUGAAAAUUAAUUUCAGGGUACUUAUUAUCAGACCAUUUAGGCUCUUUCAUCUUAACAAAUUUCUCAAAAGAUUUCAACCUGUACUCAAGCAUCCAAUCAGGCUCAUUCUUUCUUGA